rnacentral:pre_miRNA from 1 species
UAACAUCAGCAGGCUGCCGGCCCCCAGGCUGGGCUGGGCAAGCAUCUCUUCAAGAGACUCACCCUCAAGCACAACUAGGAGC